GCGCGAAAACUUUACAAUGUUGGCAACAGCGAUAAGGGAACCUCGAGUGCCAGGUUACAAAUCUGGCUGUCGAGAUGCCUAAAAAGCAUUUCAUAGCAAGGGCCGGGCAAGACCGGUGCCAGCCGCCGCGGUAACACCGGCGGCUCGAGUGGUAACCGUUAUUAUUGGGUCUAAAGGGUCUGUAGCCGGCCGGAUAAGUCUCUUGAGAAAUCUGGCAGCUUAACUGUCAGGCUUUCAGGGGAUACUGUCUGGCUCGAGGCCGGGAGAGGUGAGAGGUACUUCAGGGGUAGGGGUGGAAUCUUGUAAUCCUUGAAGGACCACCAGUGGCGGAGGCGUCUCACCAGAACGGACCUGACGGCAAGGGACGAAAGCUAGGGGCACGAACCG
rnacentral:rRNA from 1 species